ensembl:lncRNA
UCUCUCUCACCAGUAUAGACAGACUCUCUCUCGCACUCAAUCUCUCUUUUUUUCUCCUACACACAGACACACACAGCAUGCCGACACAGGGUCCUUGUGGAAUACCUUUGCCAUCUGUUAUAACAAAGAGUUCAGCCAGGCGCUCAGAGCCUGCUCUGUGUAGUCCACACCUCCACACAGAGGAGUCGUCCACCUCCACAGAGGAACUGAUGGGCAGACAGACGGACGGACAUAGAGAGGUGGAUGGACAGAUGGGCGGACAGGCCUACCCAACACAGAGAAAGCGGGGCAUACACAGACAGACAGACAGACAGACAGACAGACAGACAGACAGACAGACAGACAGACAGACAGACAGACAGACAGACAGACAGACAGACAGACAGACACACAGAAAGUCAUUCUCGCAGGCAGAAAGACAGACAGACACACACACAGAAAGUCAUAUGUGCAGCCAGAAAGACAGACAGACAGACAGACAGACAGACAGACAGACAGACAGACAGACAGACAGACAGACAGACAGACAGACAGACAGACAGACAGACAGACAGACAGACAGACAGACAGACAGACAGACAGACAGACAGACAGACAUGCAGAAAGUCACACAAACACACUGAAAGACAAACAGGUAGACAGGAACAUUCAGACAGGAAGGGCAGAAAAUUUGACACACAGGCGUACAGACAAACAGACACGCCAAGAGCCAUGAACACAGAUAGAAGGACAGACAGGCAGACAGACUUGCACACCGGAAAAAGGCAGACAGACAUGCAGACAGGAAAGGCCGACUGACAGGACGGAUGGACGGACGUACACACAGGGGGCAGGUUGAGUGAUGGAUAAUGGAUGACGGAUGGAUAGAAGGAUGGACGGAGGGAGGGAAAGGAUGGCCGAUGGAUGGAUGAAUUGAUGCAUGGUCGGAUGGACAAGUGGAGAAUCAGGAGGCGGUAUCACUUGGUCUUUCUCAUAAAACACGCAAAGCACAGUGCACAAUACCACAGACACGCCAACACACACACACACACACACACACACACACACACACACACACACACACACACACACACACACACACACACACACACACACACACCGCACAUAAACACACACUGUCUCGUCUGCGUGUAAUUAGAGACACACAAACAUCAGACAGAAAUGGAUUUGGUCAUCUGGGUUGGCCUUGGCAAUGGUUGCCUUGGCUUUGCAUCACCCCCACCCCACCUCCAUGGUACGUCAGAGAGAGAGAGAGAGAGAGAGAGAGAGAGAGAGAGAGAGAGAGAGAGAGAGAGAGAGAGAGAGAGAGAGAGAGAGAGAGAGAGAGAAAGAGAGUCUGACUUCUUACUGCCACGCCCUAAUCCCUCCCCGCAACAGCAGUCCCCAUCAUUCAGCGUGGAGCAUUGCUGUCAUAGUGCUGCGCAAGCCAAUGGCUGAUUUGGUUUCAAUAAAAUGUAACGGGUGGUUGUUGUUAUUUUUACAGUAAUCAUGAUAUAAUCUUGACUGAAACGAAGACCAGUUAAUGGCAAAGUGCGGGCCCACUUUCUCUCACUUCUGUGUCAAGACCGACCAGCGGCAUGUAGAUUACGAUAUAUGAUUGAGGCAAUAAACUAAAUAAUUAUUUUUUUAAGCAAUAUUUUUCUCGUACCACCUCAAAGGUGUUUUUGUUACUUUGUUCGUUUUAGGUAAGAUGAUCUUUUGUUUUAACACCGUUUGGAGUCCCAAUCCUUCAGUCCUCAGCAUCACCCAUCGUCAAUCCUCCCCCUAUGGUCCCAGGCCUUCACAGACCUGUUAUGAUAGCGCCUUUGUGUUGCUGCUCAUAAUCGAUAUACAUGCUUUCACUGUGUGAGCAGACCCCAAGGACUUCCAGUAGCCCAUAGACCGACCUGCACGGCAAGAACCAACCCACGCCAAGAAUGCAAGCAUCAUUAAUGACCUUUGUGUGUGUGUGUGUGUGUGUGUGUGUGUGUGUGUGUGUGUGUGUGUGUGUGUGUGUGUGUGUGUGUGUGUGUGUGUGUGUGUGCGUGCGUGCGUGUGUGUGUGUGUGUGUGUGUGUGUGUGUGUGUGUGUGUGUGUGUGUGUGUGUGUGUGUGUGUGUGUGUGUGUGUGUGUGUGUGUGUGUGCGCGCGUAUAUGUGUGUGCGUGAGUGUGUGGGGGUGAGAGCUGUUUUCAUGGAACAUUUGGAGUACUUAACUGCGCUCAUAUGUCUUAUAUUUACUGCCUAACCCCCACCUUAGCUUCCCCCUCCCCACAUCCCCAGCAAGCAGGCUAAUUUUAAAAACAAAUUAAUAAAAUACUGACUAAAACAUGAACACUGAAACAAAGAAGCCCCAGAACAAAAGUAUAACUCUGUGGCUGUACUUGUUGUACUUGGUGCGUCUUGUCGUGCGGGUACCUGUGUCGGCUGGCCGCCCGCGCUCCGUGGGCUGCGCUGUUGUGCUGAGGAGACUGCGUCUGGCCCGAGUACAGGCUGUAGCGCUGCGGGUACGUGCUCUUCGCAUCCCCCAGCCACGUCAAGAUCCACAGCAGGAGAAACAAAGCCGUCCGGGCCAUUCUUUUUGGUUGUUAGUUUUUUCCCCACGCAAAAGAAAAGCGCCUCUAAUGUUAGCGUCGCCAAACGCCUUUGAGUGGAACCGCUGAACUACUCCACGUGAAAGUUUCCAAAAGCCUCGUCGUUGCGCGCUCCGUCUCCCGCGUCUGCGAAGUCCAUCCUAUCCAUCCAUCCCGAGUGCGCUGAGGAGAAGACUCAGAAAGAAAAGUGACCAACAACCACCUCGACCUCACCGCUACCUCCUUGGUUUAUUUUGUUUAGGCUGUAUAUACUUAGGGUUGAAGGGAAAAAAGGAACGACCACCAUUCAUGUCUGACGCAGACAAAAGUCCAAAUAAAAGUAGUGAAAGCUCGAGCGCAGGGGGGUGAUGAUGAUAAUGAAGCCGACCGCUUUAGGAAUGAACGUUUUUCUUCCAAGUCCCGUAGAAUACUGGAAAUGGUGUUACCCCUCCUUUCCAGCUCAUACUUCGGUUCUCUCUGUCUCUCUCACUCACACAUUCUCUCUCUCACCCGUUCCUCCAACCACACUCAUUCAUCCACCCCUUCUUCUAGAACCCCUCCUACCGCUGCCUUGUGCUAUAGUCAUCUCUGAAAAACAUCAGUGAACCGAGUUGGGUCACUAGCCAGUCCCUUCCACUGCAGAGGAAUAAUUAUUCACACUGCUUU